rnacentral:rRNA from 1 species
UACGUAGGGAGCAAGCGUUGUCCGGAAUCAUUGGGCGUAAAGCGCGCGUAGGUGGCCUCAUAAGUCCGCUGUGAAAGUCGGGGGCUCAACCCUCGAAUGCCGGUGGAUACUGUCGGGCUAGAGUGCGGAAGAGGCGAGUGGAAUUCCUGGUGUAGCGGUGAAAUGCGCAGAUAUCAGGAGGAACACCUAUUGCGAAGGCAGCUCGCUGGGACGUAACUGACGCUGAGACGCGAAAGCGUGGGGAGCAAACAGG